rnacentral:rRNA from 1 species
AGAGUUUGAUCCUGGCUCAGGAUGAACGCUGGCGGCGUGCCUAAUACAUGCAAGUCGAGCGAACGGACGAGAAGCUUGCUUCUCUGAUGUUAGCGGCGGACGGGUGAGUAACACGUGGAUAACCUACCUAUAAGACUGGGAUAACUUCGGGAAACCGGAGCUAAUACCGGAUGAUAUUUUGAACCGCAUGGUUCAAAAGUGAAAGACGGUCUUGCUGUCACUUAUAGAUGGAUCCGCGCUGCAUUAGCUAGUUGGUAAGGUAACGGCUUACCAAGGCAACGAUGCAUAGCCGACCUGAGAGGGUGAUCGGCCACACUGGAACUGAGACACGGUCCAGACUCCUACGGGAGGCAGCAGUAGGGAAUCUUCCGCAAUGGGCGAAAGCCUGACGGAGCAACGCCGCGUGAGUGAUGAAGGUCUUCGGAUCGUAAAACUCUGUUAUUAGGGAAGAACAUAUGUGUAAGUAACUGUGCACAUCUUGACGGUACCUAAUCAGAAAGCCACGGCUAACUACGUGCCAGCAGCCGCGGUAAUACGUAGGUGGCAAGCGUUAUCCGGAAUUAUUGGGCGUAAAGCGCGCGUAGGCGGUUUUUUAAGUCUGAUGUGAAAGCCCACGGCUCAACCGUGGAGGGUCAUUGGAAACUGGAAAACUUGAGUGCAGAAGAGGAAAGUGGAAUUCCAUGUGUAGCGGUGAAAUGCGCAGAGAUAUGGAGGAACACCAGUGGCGAAGGCGACUUUCUGGUCUGUAACUGACGCUGAUGUGCGAAAGCGUGGGGAUCAAACAGGAUUAGAUACCCUGGUAGUCCACGCCGUAAACGAUGAGUGCUAAGUGUUAGGGGGUUUCCGCCCCUUAGUGCUGCAGCUAACGCAUUAAGCACUCCGCCUGGGGAGUACGACCGCAAGGUUGAAACUCAAAGGAAUUGACGGGGACCCGCACAAGCGGUGGAGCAUGUGGUUUAAUUCGAAGCAACGCGAAGAACCUUACCAAAUCUUGACAUCCUUUGACAACUCUAGAGAUAGAGCCUUCCCCUUCGGGGGACAAAGUGACAGGUGGUGCAUGGUUGUCGUCAGCUCGUGUCGUGAGAUGUUGGGUUAAGUCCCGCAACGAGCGCAACCCUUAAGCUUAGUUGCCAUCAUUAAGUUGGGCACUCUAAGUUGACUGCCGGUGACAAACCGGAGGAAGGUGGGGAUGACGCCAAAUCAUCAUGCCCCUUAUGAUUUGGGCUACACACGUGCUACAAUGGACAAUACAAAGGGCAGCGAAACCGCGAGGUCAAGCAAAUCCCAUAAAGUUGUUCUCAGUUCGGAUUGUAGUCUGCAACUCGACUACAUGAAGCUGGAAUCGCUAGUAAUCGUAGAUCAGCAUGCUACGGUGAAUACGUUCCCGGGUCUUGUACACACCGCCCGUCACACCACGAGAGUUUGUAACACCCGAAGCCGGUGGAGUAACCUUUUAGGAGCUAGCCGUCGAAGGUGGGACAAAUGAUUGGGGUGAAGUCGUAACAAGGUAGCCGUAUCGGAAGGUGCGGCUGGAUCACCU